rnacentral:rRNA from 1 species
AUUGAACGCUGGCGGAACACUUUACACAUGCAAGUCGAACGGCAGCACGGGUGCUUGCACCUGGUGGCGAGUGGCGAACGGGUGAGUAAUACAUCGGAACGUACCCAGUUGUGGGGGAUAACUAACCGAAAGGUUAGCUAAUACCGCAUACGACCUGGGGGUGAAAGCGGGGGACCGUAAGGCCUCGCGCAAUUGGAGCGGCCGAUGUCUGAUUAGCUAGUUGGUAGGGUAAAGGCCUACCAAGGCGAUGAUCAGUAGCUGGUCUGAGAGGAUGAUCAGCCACACUGGAACUGAGACACGGUCCAGACUCCUACGGGAGGCAGCAGUGGGGAAUUUUGGACAAUGGGCGAAAGCCUGAUCCAGCCAUUCCGCGUGAGUGAAGAAGGCCUUCGGGUUGUAAAGCUCUUUCGGCAGGGAAGAAACGGCCUAGGUUAAUACCUUGGGCUAAUGACGGUACCUGAAGAAGAAGCACCGGCUAACUACGUGCCAGCAGCCGCAGUAA